AAUGUUUGGCGGGGAACGCUUUCGACUUGGAAAGUCGAGCGACUGUCGUUCGACUCUCCGAGUCGGUUC
rnacentral:tRNA from 1 species